GACGAACGCUGGCGGCGUGCCUAAUACAUGCAAGUCGAGCGAAGAGUCGCUGGUGCUUGCCCUCUAACGACUUCGCGGCGAGCGGGUGAGUAACACGUAAAACACCUGUCUCAUAGUCUGGGACCACUGUUGGAAAGGAUCUCUUAUCGCGGAAUACAGUAUUUCGCGCAGGUGAGUAAUUUAAAAGUUGUUUGUGCUAACACUUUGAGAUAUCCUUGCGGUGCAUUAGCUAGUUGGUGGGGUAAAGGCCCACCAAGGCGACGAUGCAUAGCCGACCUGAGAGGGUGAUCGGCCACACUGGAACUGAGACACGGCCCAGACUCCUACGGGAGGCAGCAGUAGGGAAUCUUCCGCAAUGGGCGAAAGCCUGACGGAGCAACGCCGCGUGAGUGAAGAAGGAUUUCGGUUCGUAAAGCUCUGUUGUUAGGGAAGAAUGAAUGUGUAGUAAACAAAGAUGUAAGAGACGGUACCUAAUCAGAAAGCCACGGCUAACUACGUG
rnacentral:rRNA from 1 species